GGGGCUGAUUCUGGAUUCGACGGGAUUUGCGAAACCCAAGGUGCAUGCCGAGGGGCGGUUGGCCUCGUAAAAAGCCGCAAAAAAUAGUCGCAAACGACGAAAACUACGCUUUAGCAGCUUAAUAACCUGCUUAGAGCCCUCUCUCCCUAGCCUCCGCUCUUAGGACGGGGAUCAAGAGAGGUCAAACCCAAAAGAGAUCGCGUGGAAGCCCUGCCUGGGGUUGAAGCGUUAAAACUUAAUCAGGCUAGUUUGUUGGUGGCGUGUCCGUCCGCAGCUGGCAAGCGAAUGUAAAGACUGACUAAGCAUGUAGUACCGAGGAUGUAGGAAUUUCGGACGCGGGUUCAACUCCCGCCAGCUCCACCA
rnacentral:tmRNA from 1 species